AAAUAUUAGGGGUAACAUGGUAAAUAUGCAAAUGAUUUAGGUUCAGUUAAUCAAUCAUAGUCUUGUUGGGGAUGCACCAAAAAAUAGCUCCCUUUCUCUCUAUGUGAAACGACGGCCAACAACAGCAUCGCCAGGCCGCCGCUACUCCGAUGCUCUUGUUGUAGCCGUCAAUCUGGAAGAUGUUGGACUUGAAGGAGUCGCUACUCCGUUGUUAAUCCCAACGAAGGAUAACCAUUACUUGAAUCCCACAAAUUCACUCUCAGGGUAAAUCAAAUAAAAUGAAUCAACAAAUCGUCAUUUUUCACUUCAUUAAGAUAGAAAUCGUCAAUAACGAUGUAUGUCUUGAGUUUUAUCAUGCAUUUGAUCUGUUCUAUAGAGAAUUCUGAUGUUGCAGAGUUUUGAACUUUGAUUAAUUACAGGCAGAGAUGUCGAUUUUCGUUUCUAGGUUUUGCGAUUUCAUGUUUCUUUGUUCAAUUUUCAUGAAUUUUUAAUGAAGUUAAGUACGAUCUGAUUGAAAUUUUUGAAACUCAUGUGACUUUGGUGUACGGGAACUCCUAUCACUACGCCGAUAAUGUAUAGUCGGACAAUUUGUGUUUCUGGCUACUGAGGCAGAGAAUUACAUGGCAUGCUUUUUGGCCAUUGAUCAACAUCAUGCCAUUAAAAAUCUUAUUGAGAUCAAGUGACUUUGUACUCAAAGUGUCGGGAUUUCUGGAGUGCACGCAAGUUGCUUGAUGAAAGUACUGAACAAGAUUUAGUUGCUUGGUUUGCUUUACUAUCAGGGUAUACCAAGAAUGGUCUCAGUCAAGAAGCUCUUUUGGCUUUUACAGAGAUGCACACAUUAAGUAUUAGGUGUAAUGAGUUCACAUUCCCUGGUAUCCUUAAAGUUUGCUCCAUGAAGAAGGAUAUCCUUAGAGGGAAACAAAUACAUGGAAUUGUGGUGGUGACUGGUUUGAAAAUGAUGUUUAUGUUGCAAAUAUUACGCCCCAUUGGUGUGUUCUCAAAUGAUUUUACUCUUCUGUUAAAGCUAUGAAGAUUUGAACAACCACCUCUUGAGCAUAUGAUUGGGUCGAGGUCUCUUCUGUGGAUUUGCCAGAUCAGCUAUCCGAGAUAAAGCACACAAAGUGUUUUAGGGAGGCAAUGUUGGCCAUUUGCAUAAGCUACUGAGUGUGGAAUCAAGUUUACAUGUUUUGUUACUUUAUUUAUCACCAUUUUUUUUACAAUCUACAUUGGUACUUUUGUGGAGCAGAAUUAAUUUAUUUUAAUUUAAUACUCUUUGGAGCAAAGUUUAUGUGCUUGUUUCAAUUUUGUUGGGUUCUUUAUGUUGGAGAUCAUCUAUAUGGUGAUAUUUUACGCUAAAAAAAGCCCAAGGUAUUACUCUCUAUGCAAGAAAUGACAAUGUACUUUCAUUGAUUUGUUUAUUAUAGCAUCCUACUUUUUAAACCAUAGUUUUAUUAAUGAAUUAGAAACUGGACAUACAUUCCUAUAUUUUGGUAGAGUUUUUAACAAUGAUGUAAUAGAAGGAAAUGUAAGUACGUUGCUAUUUCUUGUAUUUCGCCUAAUUUUUAUUUCAAGGGCUUGUAAUAUAAUUACAUGGAUCAGGUUGGAGGACAAUGCUUGUUGUUCCUGAAAUUGAAAAAAAGGAAGUUAAAUUUCUUUGGUGUAUAGAAGACACUGAUUAGGUAAUUUUGAAAGAUAAUUUUAUUAAGUCUAUUUUUAUUUUCAAAUCAGUAACAUAUAUCAGCAUCUUAUAUUGCUUAUAAAUGAACAAGAUCAAAUUGAAAAUCUCCAUCAUUUAAAAUGGUCCCUCCGUUAAGAAUUACCUCUCUCUCUCUCUCUCUCUCUCUCUCUC